AGAAAAGAAAAAAGCCACCCGAGGGUCUUAGAUCAACUUCUAUUCUUUGAGUUCAAUAAAGAGGGGGUGUCUUUUCAGCUGUGGGGGACAAAAGGAGAAGUCAACAGACACCUGCAAGUUAUUCCUAACGACCAGUCUGCUCUGGCCUUCUUAGCUUCUCUUGGCUGGCCACUCCCUCCCCUGGCUCUCCCAGCCUCCCUGCCCCUAGCCAACCUCCCAGCCAGGAUUCUAGAGAUGGAGGCUGCACGAUGGUCACAGGAAUAGUGGAAUGAAUUGGUUUGCAAAAGAAGUAGGUGGGGAUGGAAAGGAGGGCCCAGGAACUGAUGGGACAAAUUUCCCACAGCCCCCCAGAGCGCUAUGAGCAAAAACCACUUCAUGGGGGGAUUGUGGGAAGUGAGAAUCGGGAGGCUUGGCCUGAGUGGAGGCUGCCGGGCAGGUGCCUUUGGGCGGUGGUCAGCCUGUGCUUUGGUGAAGUUGGCCUGGCAGUCUCUGAGGCCACCACAGCACAUGUGGUGAAGAGCACGUUUCUCAUGUUUCUUCUCUCUUGGCUUUAUUGAUUGGUUUAUUGAUUGUUGAUUUAUUGAUUCAGUUCUGUUCAAUCCAACUCAGUGGACAUUUUCCAGAUACUUACUGGGUGCCAGGUGCUAGGACCACAGAGAGAUGUUAGUCACUGCCCAGCUCAUAGUGAAUGUACACAAAUGUCCAGACCCCAGGGCUCCCCCAGAAGCAGACCGAUGGCUGGCUCUCCCCGCUGUCAAAAAUCCCAUUUUUAACAGACAGCGUGCUUUCAGCUGCCACUGGCUUCCUUGGACAUAAAGCAGAUAGAAGCCCCAGGAUCUGUUUUGGUGGGAAGAGAAAUAAAGGAAGAGGAAAAGCAGGCAGGGAAGGGAGUUGGUGAAGGAAUAAGAAAGGAGGGAAGAGGGGAGGCAGGCCUGGGAAGGAAAAGGAAUGUUGCUCGAUGCUCCCAUCUGGUGGUGGCCUUGGGAGCCGCAGGGACCCGGAGAGAGGCUCUAGGUGUGGCCUGGGAGGGCCGGUUUGGGUGUGCGGCAGCUUGUUGGUGACCUCUGUUUCUGGACUUCCUGUGCAGGUCUGCCACCACACCACUAGGUCUCCAGCAACACCCUGGACACCCAGACAAGGGGAGAAUAGGCUGCAUCUCCAAUGCUUCCUGGACUGGACCCUCCCAGAGUUUCCAGGUUCUGCUAAUGCUGCUCUCCUGGGACCACAUUUGUUUUGGCCGCACCGUGGGGCUUGUGGGAUCUCAGUUCCCUGACCAGGGAUCAAAGCCAGGCUCCUGGCAGUGAAAGCGCUGAGUCCUAACCACUGGACUGCCAGGGAAUUCCCGGGUGUGAACAACUCUGAUCAGGCACUUUACAAAAUGUUGUCCAGUUUAAUCCUCACAACCUUCUCUCAGCUGCAUCUUUUACUGUUUCACCGUGUGAUAGACCCCACCCUAGGCAGCAAUGUUCAGGAGGGCCUUGUUCACAGCACAAGGCGUGACCAUAGAGGGUUUCAACAGAUACUUGUGGAAUGAAUGAAUGACUGAAUGAAGCCAGCCCUACAGACCUUAUGGAGGAAGCGAUGACCUCAGAGGUAUUAUUGCCCCUGUUUUACAGAUGCUGAAUCUGAAUCUAAACGUUUAAAGGAAACUUGCCCAAGGUCAUAAGGCUAAUAAAUGGAAGAGCCAGGAUUCAGACCUGGGUCUGUCUGACUUUAGUGCCCAUAUUCUUUCCAGGGUAACAUAUAUAUUUUAACCAUUUCAGCUGAAGGCUGAGGGCCCCAAAUGGCCGUUCCCCGCCUGAACGUCCCUAACCACCUUUUCUAACUGGUCCCUGACCUCCAGGAGUGCCAAGGCUGUACAGAAAGUCACAAAGCUGCACCCUCCAAUAGCUAGCAUUGAAUUCAUGUAAGUAAAUUCAUAGGAAAUCAAACGUUUAAAUUCAGUUCCUCAGCCCCCCUAGCUAUAGUCCAAGGGUCACGUUUCAUGUAGAUUAGUGGCUACCAUAUUGAACAACACAGACAUAGAGUAUUUCCAGCAUCACAGAAAAUUCUGUUGGAUAGCCCCGUCACAAAGGAUUAAACCGUUAAUUCUUGUUUUCUCCGGCAGAGAUCUUGUGUAAGGGUGCAGGCCCUGACUCUAGCUCCUGCCCUGCCAAGGGCUCCAGGGAUUCCUGUUCCUGGUUUUGGUCUCAUGGGUCCUACCGCCACAAGGGCUUUUGGAAUUGCCCUACUGUCUCUAGACUCUAAUCUCAGCCUCAGAAAAAUCCCCUCAUCUUUUCUCCCAGAAGGCUUCUGUUAAGCCUUCUUGCAGAUAAAGUUCUUGAUGGCCUUUCUCAAUAUCCCAGAUUUCCUAAAGAGGUACACAGAUGAGUACACACACACCAAGACCCAACAGUUGUGGCACUCAGGGGAAGAUGAGUUUACCAAACUUUUAGCUAAGUAUGACAGAGAGGGGCUGCUGAUGGGAGGGAGACAGUAGGGGCUCCAGGUCAAAUCCUCUCAUGGCAUGGCACAGUGCCCACGACAAUUGGGAAAGUGCUCUCACUAGUGGGCCAGGUGAUCCCCAGCUCUUCAGAGACGUCUGUGGAAGUGCUGAAUAAAGGGCUAAGAAUUA